rnacentral:rRNA from 1 species
GAUGAACGCUGGCGGCGUGUCUAACACAUGCAAGUCGAGCGAACGGACGAGAAGCUUGCUUCUCUGAUGUUAGCGGCGGACGGGUGAGUAACACGUGGAUAAACUACCUAUAAGACUGGGAUAACCUUGGGAAUCCGGAGCCAAAACCGGAGGAUAAUUUGAACCGCACAGUUCAAAAGUGAAAGGCGGUCCUGCUGUCACUUAUAGCUGGAUCCGCGCUGCAUUAGCUAGUUGGUAAGGUAACGGCUGACCAAGGCAACGAUGCAUAGCCGACCUGAGAGCCUGCUCGCUCACACUAGAACUGAGACACGGUGCAGACGCCUACGGGAGGCACCAGUAGGGAAUCUUCCGCAAAGCGCGCAAGCCUGACGGAGCAACCCCGCGUGAGUGAUGUACGUCUUCGCAUCGUAAAGCUCUGUUAUGAGGGAAAAACAUAUGGGUAAGUAACUGUGCACAUCCUGACGGUACCUAAUCAGAAAGCCACGCCUAACUUCGUC